ACACGGGGGGCGCAAGCGUUAUUCGGAAUUAUUGGGCGUAAAGGGCGCGUAGGCGGUCUUGUCGGUCAGAUGUGAAAGCCCAGGGCUCAACCCUGGACGUGCAUUUGAAACAGCAAGACUUGAGUACGCGAGAGGAAAGCGGAAUUCCUGGUGUAGAGGUGAAAUUCGUAGAUAUCAGGAGGAACACCGAUGGCGAAGGCAGCUUUCUGGACCGAUACUGACGCUGAGGCGCGAAGGCGUGGGUAGCGAACAGAAUUAGAAACCCCAGUAGUCC
rnacentral:rRNA from 1 species